rnacentral:lncRNA from 10 species
GCAGGUGGAUCACGAGGUCAGGAGAUUGAGACCAUCCUGGCUAACAUGGUGAAACCCCGUCUCUACUAAAAAUACAAAAAAUUAGCCCCAGAGUAGUCCCAGCUACUCUGGAGGCUGAGGCAGGAGAAUCACUUGAAACCAGAAGGCGGAGGCUGCAGUGAGCUGAGAUCGUGCCACUGCACUCAAGUCUGGGUGACAGUGAGACUCUGUCUCAAAACAACAACAACAAAAAACAAAAACAAACAGAAAAAACAAACAAAACAAAUGAUAAUGGAAACACAACAUGCCAAAAUCUGUGGAAUACAGUGAAAGCAGUACUAAGAUGGAAGUUUAUAGCUAUAAUCACUUAUAUCAAAAAGAAGAAAAACUUCAAAGAAACAACCUAGUGAUGCAUCUUAAAGAACUGGAAAAGCAAGAGCAAAUCAAACACAAAAGUAGUAGAAGAAAAAAUAAUAAUAAAGAUCAGAGCAGAAAUAAACAAAAUUGAAACAAUAAAAUACAAAAGAUUAAUUAAGAAGUUGGUUUUUUAAAAAGAUAAACAAAAUUGACAAACCUUUGAUCAGACUAAGACAAAAAAGAGAAGACCUGAAAAAAUAAAAUUAGAGAUGAAGAAAGAGACAUUACAACUGAUACUACAGAAAUUCAAAGGACCAUUAGUGGCUACUAUGAGCAACUAUAUGCCAAUAAAUUGGAAAAUCCAGAAGAAAUUGAUAAUUUCCUAGACACAUAAAUCCUAUCAAGAUUGAACCAUGAAGAAAUCCAAAACUAUAAAACAUUGAUGCCUGACAAUGAAAAUGACACCAAAAAAACGGAAAGAUAUUCCAUGUUCAUGGAUUGGAAGACUCAAUAUUAUUAACAUGUCCAUAACUAAUAACCAAUAACAAGGAACAAGAUUGAAGCCAUGAUUAAAAGUCUCCCAGCAAAGAAGAGCCUGGGACCAGAUGGCUUUACUGCUGACUUCUACCAUACAUAUGAAGAGGAAGUGAUACCAAUUCUACUGAAACUAUUCUAAAAAAUAGAGGAGGAGGGAAAACUUCCAAACUUAUUCUAUGAGGCCAGUGUUACCCUGAAUAACAAAACCAAAGAAACAUUAAAAAAAAGAAAAGAAAAGAAAAGAAAAACACAAAGAAAAGAAAGAAAGAAAAGAAGAAAAAGAAAGGAAACUAGCCAAAUAUCACAAAUGAAUAGUGAUGCAAAAAUCCUCAGCAAAAUUCUAGCAUAAAAAAUAAAUUAAAUUCCGGGCGCGGUGGCUCAUGCCUGUAAUCCCAGCACUUUGGGAGGCCCAGGCGGGUGGAUCACCUGAGGUCAGGAGUUCCAGAUCAUCCUGCCCAACAUGAUGAAACCCCAUCUCUACUGAAAAUACCAAAAUUAGCUGGGCAUGGCGGCAGGUGCCGGUAAUCCCAGCUACUCAGGAGGCUGAGGCAGGAAAAUCACUUGAACCCAGGAGAUGGGGUUUUGCCAUGUUGGCCAGGCUGCUCUCAAACUCCUGAACUCAGGUGAUCCUCCUACCUCAGCCUCCCAGAGUGCUAAGAUUACAAGUGUGAGCCACCGCUCCCGGCCCUAAUUGUACUUUUUUUAAAUUUUAUUUUUUGGAGUCUGGCUCUGUCACCCAGGCCGGAGUAGAGUGGCGCAAUCUCAGCUCACUACAACCUCUGCCUCCUGUUUUCAAGCGAUUCUCCUGCCUCAGCCUCCCAAGUAGCUGGGAUUACAGGCCGCGCCACCAUGCCUGGCUAAUUUUUGUAUUUUUAGUAGAGACAGGGUUUCAUCAUGUUGGCCAGUCUGGUCUCAAACUUCUGACCUCAAGUGAUCCGCCCGCCUUGGCCUCCCAAAGUGCUGGGAUUACAGGCGUAAGCCACCGUGCCCCGGCCGGAUUAUUGUUAACUAUUGUAACUAUUGUAUUAGGAAGAUUUGAGGUUGGCCUGGCCCAAGUGGCAACUAUGUUUUUUUUUUUUUUUUUUUUUUUUUUUUUUUUUUUUUUUUGAGAUGGAUUCUCGCUCUGUCUCCCAGGCUGGAGUGCAGUGGUGCGACCUUGGCUCACUGCAAGCUCUGCCUCCCGGGUUCACACCAUUCUCCUGCCUCAGUCUCCCCAGUAGCUGGGACUACAGGCUCCUACCACCACAACAUAAUUUUUUGUUUUUUAGUAGAGAUGGGGUUUCACCAUGUUAGCCAGGAUGGUCUCGAUCUCCUGACCUCGUGAUCUGCCUGCCUUGGCUUCCCUAAGUGCUGGGAUUACACGCGUGAGCCACUGCACCCGGCCUUAAGUGGCAACUAUUUAAGGAAAUAAAAUGGGUGUAGUGAGUGAUCCAGGCAUAGGAGUUACAGAGGUUAAAAGAAAAAGCAGCAGAUAAUUAAGCAGAGUAAUCUGAAUCCUGCCAGAGGAUGCCUUACUCCAGAUAUCAAUGGUUUUAGCUUUGGGACAAUGGAAUUUGCAAGAAAAAAUUGAACCAGCUUAUCAAGGUGUUGUUUAAUAUGUAUUUCAGAAAACACUGAGCCUAAUGAAGAGUUCUUAAACCACCACAAUGGAAUGGCAGGCUCUUAGUUCUCUGACGUAAAUGCCUUUAUAAAUGUGGAAUAUUUGAAUGAAUGAGAGAUGGGGAACCCCACAGAAAAGAUUAUAUAAUAUCACACGCUGGGAGAAAUAAAAUAACAAAAUUUUUGUGGACUUAUUGAUACUGACUACAAUCUAACAUGCAAAUUCUGUAGGACCCAGGACACCACUAUUUUCAUUAGCCAGAAUAAGGUCCUUAAGAUAUCAUAUAAUAGUUGGAACUCUAAUAUGAAUUUGUUGCACCUUUGUCCCAAUCAGAUUCUGAACUCAACCUGAAGUUUCACAUAGUCCCUGCUUAAAACAUGAUGUCUGACUAAUUAGUUGGAUGGUAUGAUCUACAUUGUGGUUGUCAAUAAUCCUUGGCCUGGUUCUUGCUCAAAGUAGCAACCUGGUAGUGAAGGAGGCUUAUCACCUGGAGUUUAUCACCCAGUAUUCACUUCACUAAGGCUAACUUGUCUGCUAGCAUUGCUAAAGUUUGUUUGUUUGUUUGUUUGUUUGUUUGUUUUUUGAGACAGAGUCUCACUGUGUCGCCCAGGCUGGAGUGCAGUGGCAUGAUCUCAGCUCGCUGCAACCUCC